rnacentral:rRNA from 1 species
UGAGCAAUCUGCCCUUCUCAUCGGAAUAAGCGUUGGAACGACGUCUAAUGCCGAGUACGACCUCCUUUCGCAUG